rnacentral:rRNA from 1 species
AUUGAACGCUGGCGGCAGGCCUAACACAUGCAAGUCGAACGCGUGGCGGACGGGUGAGUAAUGUCUGGGAAACUGCUCGAUGGCUGGGGAUAACUACUGGAACCGGUAGCUAAUACCGCAUACCAUCGGAUGAGCCAAGAUGGGAUUAGCUAGUAGGUGGGGUAACGGCUAACCUAGGCGACGAUCCAUAGCUGGUCUGAGAGGAUGACCAGCCACACUGGAACUGAGACACGGUCCAGACUCCUACGGGAGGCAGCAGUGGGGAAUAUUGCACAAUGGGCGCAAGCCUGAUGCAGCCAUGCCGCGUGUAUGAAGAAGGCCUUCGGGUUGUAAAGUACUGUCAGCGGGGAGGCGUUACUCGCAGAAGAAGCACCGGCUAACUCCGUGCCAGCAGCCGCGGUAAUAC